UACGUAGGUGGCGAGCGUUAUCCGGAAUUAUUGGGCGUAAAGAGCGCGCAGGUGGUUGAUUAAGUCUGAUGUGAAAGCCCACGGCUUUAACCGUGGAGGGCAUUGGAAACUGGUCGACUUGAGUGCAGAAGAGGGAAGUGGAAUUCCAUGUGUAGCGGUGAAAUGCGUAGAGAUAUGGAGGAACACCAGUGGCGAAGGCGGCUUCCUGGUCUGUAACUGACACUGAGGCGCGAAAGCGUGGGGAGCAAACAGG
rnacentral:rRNA from 1 species